rnacentral:rRNA from 1 species
UGGGUAAGGACGGUGCCAGCCACCGCGGUAAUACCGGCGCCUCAAGUGGUAGUCGCUUUUAUUGGGCCUAAAACGUCCGUAGCCGGUCUGGUGCAUUCGUGGGUAAAUCAACCCGCUCAACGGGUUGAAUUCUGCGAGCACGGCCAGACUUGGGACCGGGAGAGGUGUGGGGUACUCUCAGGGUAGGGGUAAAAUCCUGUCAUCCUGAGAGGACCACCUGUUGCGAAGGCGCCACACUAGAACGGAUUCGACGGUCAGGGACGAAACCUAGGGGCACGAACCGGAUUAGAUACCCGGGUAGUCCUAGGUGUAAACGCUGUGGACUUGAUGUUGGGGGUGCUCCGAGCACUCUCAGUGUAGAAGCGAAGGUGAUAAGUCCACUGCCUGGGGAGUACGGUCGCAAGGCUGAAACUUAAACGGUAAUUGGCGGGGGAGCACUUUCAACCUGAGGAUUGUGCGGUUUAAUUGGAUCUCAACGCCGGGAA